rnacentral:rRNA from 1 species
CCGACUUUGUCGGGAAGUGCCCUGGUGGAAGGGGUCGUAACUUUUUUGCGACGGCCGCUCGUCUGUGCUGACGCAAUGUUAUUUCUGCCCAGUGCUCUCCAUGUCAACGUAAAAAAAUUUUAAAAAGCACCGGUGAACGGCGGAAGUAGCUAUGACUCUCUUGUUGGGAGAGUUAAUGGUUACGAG